AUCUUGGUAGACCUCCAGGUUUUCUAGCUGAAGGAGCUGGGUGAGUGAUAGCUCCACUGGCCAGAUGGGGGGCUAGGAAGAGGAGGGACAGGUUUGAGGAAAAUGGCCAAAUGAUGACUUGUAUCUAAGAUAAUAUAGUCCAUAAGCCAGAAUUGGAGCUCUGAUUCUCCAGGGAUGUGGGCAGUAGAUGGUAGUGUUCUCUGCAAAUGGCAGGGGCAGCUGUGAAGCACAGUGAUUGGGUUAGGCAUGACCACAUGGUGAUCCACUCUUGACCAAUAGGAAGUUUUUGUAGAGCCGGCGCUAAAGAAGAUAUUUCUGGAAAAGGAUCCCCUAUAGCCCAGGUGAAAGACUUUGACACGAUUUAAAGUAACCCGCUCUUCUGUACGCACUGUUUAGUCUGCGUGGGAACGUGAUACGAAGGAGUUUAUCACCAUCAAUGAUGCUCUGAGUAUGAGGUAGCUAGACUUGCUGUCUUGUGUCAUUAAUGUGUUGUUAAGCUUCGGCCCCCUGAAUUAACCAGCACAGUGCUUAACUGCAGGCUUCUUGCUGUGUAGCAUAAUAAACCCUGGUGCAGCUAAAAACAUCCUGACCACAUCUCUUGUACAGUUUUAAAGUUCACGUUCUUUACAUCUAGCUUAUCGGCGCUGCCGAUUACGGUAAUGUGAGGCGGGCCUUCAAUAAUCAUGUGCUUUUCCAUGGCUGUGCAGACAAAAUUGAUGGAGUGGAAUAAAGAGGAAAGCUAAUGACCCAUUUAUGCUGUGCUUUCAUUCGGAAUGCCUGUUUUAUUCUGGAAACAAGCUUCUAGGGGCCAAGGAUCUAACUCAGACGGUAAAAUGCUUGUGGAGCCUAUGGGAGAAACCCUGGUUUUUACCUCAGCAUGGUGUAAAUCGGGCAUGGUGGCUCACACCAGUAAGCCCAACAUUUGGUGGGGGUGGAAGAAUGAAGAACAGGAGUUCAACAUUGUGCUUGGCUGCUUAGCAAGUUAGAGGUCAGCCUGGGAUAUAGGACAUGGGCCGUGG
rnacentral:lncRNA from 1 species